rnacentral:rRNA from 1 species
GACGAACGCUGGCGGCGUGCUUAACACAUGCAAGUCGAACGGAAAGGCCCUGCUUUUGUGGGGUGCUCGAGUGGCGAAAGGGUGAGUAACACGUGAGUAACCUGCCCUUGACUUUGGGAUAACUUCAGGAAACUGGGGCUAAUACCGGAUAGGAGCUCCUGCUGCAUGGUGGGGGUUGGAAAGUUUCGGCGGUUGGGGAUGGACGCGCGGGUUAUCAGCUUGCUGGUGGGGUAGUGGCUUACCAAGGCUGUGACGGGUAGCCGGCCUGGGAGGGUGACCGGCGACAAGGGGACUGAGAGAGGGACCAGAGUCGUACGGGAGGCAGCAGUGGGGAGUAUUGCACAAUGGGCGGGAGCCUGAUGCAGCGACGCCGCGUGCGGGAUGACGGCCUUCGGGUUGUGAACCGCUUUCGCCUGUGACGAAGCGUGAGUGACGGUAAUGAGUAAAGAAGCACCGGCUAACUACGUG